rnacentral:rRNA from 1 species
CAGUAGCCGCGGUAAUACGGAGGGGGCUAGCGUUGUUCGGAAUUAUUGGGCGUAAAGCGUGCGUAGGCGGUUCGUUAAGUCUGUUGUGAAAGCCCCGGGCUCAACCUGGGAAUGGCAAUGGAUACUGGCGAGCUAGAGUGUGUCAAAGGAUGGUGGAAUUCCCGGUGUAGCGGUGAAAUGCGUAGAGAUCGGGAGGAACAUAAGCGGCGAAGGCGGCCAUCUGGGACAACACUGACGCUGAGGCACGAAAGCGUGGGGAGCAAACAGGAUUAGAUACCCCAGUAGUCCCUGUCUCUUAUAC